rnacentral:rRNA from 1 species
GACGAACGCUGGCGGCGUGCCUAAUACAUGCAAGUCGAGCGGACUGAAUGGGAGCUUGCUCUUGUUCGGUCAGCGGCGGACGGGUGAGUAACACGUGGGCAACCUGCCCGCAAGACCGGGAUAACUCCGGGAAACCGGAGCUAAUACCGGAUAACACCGAAGACCGCAUGGUCUUUGGUUGAAAGGCGGCGCAAGCUGCCACUUGCGGAUGGGCCCGCGGCGCAUUAGCUAGUUGGUGAGGUAACGGCUCACCAAGGCGACGAUGCGUAGCCGGCCUGAGAGGGUGACCGGCCACACUGGGACUGAGACACGGCCCAGACUCCUACGGGAGGCAGCAGUAGGGAAUCUUCCGCAAUGGGCGAAAGCCUGACGGAGCGACGCUGCGUGAGCGAAGAAGGCCUUCGGGUCGUAAAGCUCUGUUGUGAGGGACGAAGGAGCGCCGUUUGAAGAAGGCGGCGCGGUGACGGUACCUCACGAGGAAGCCCCGGCUAACUACGUG